rnacentral:rRNA from 1 species
GAUGAACGCUGGCGGCGUGCCUAAUACAUGCAAGUCGAGCGAACGGACGAGAAGCUUGCUUUUCUGAUGUUAGCGGCGGACGGGGGAGUAAAACGUGGAUAACCUACCUAUAAGACUGGGAUAACUUCGGGAAAACGGAGCUAAUAACCGCUAAUAUUUUGAACCGCAUGGUUCAUAAGUGAAAGACGGUCUUGCAGUCACUUAUAGAUGGAUCCGCGCUGCAUUAGCUAGUUGGUAAGGUAACGGCUUACCAAGGCAACGAUGCAUAGCCGACCUGAGAGGGUGAUCGGCCACACUGGAACUGAGACACGGUCCAGACUCCUACGGGAGGCAGCAGUAGGGAAUCUUCCGCAAUGGGCGAAAGCCUGACGGAGCAACGCCGCGUGAGUGAUGAAGGUCUUCGGAUCGUAAAACUCUGUUAUUAGGGAAGAACAUAUGUGUAAGUAACUGUGCACAUCUUGACGGUACCUAAUCAGAAAGCCACGGCUAACUACGUG